rnacentral:ncRNA from 2 species
GGAGGCGGUCGCGACUGGCGAGGGUGGGCAACCACCGGGGAGCGGCCACGGAUCAUGAACAGGUCAUGAAUGAGGGACGUCGCCCGCCUGGGCGUCCCCG